AGAGAUGAUGAUGAUGAUGGCGUGUUGAUGGGUCAUACGUACCAUGCCGUACGCCAUACUGCGCUCAUGCUCCUGGGUGAUGUCGGCCACAUAAGCGAAUACAACGGAGAAGAAAAAACAGAAACACAACAUACCACGGGCUGAUCUUCAGUAAAGGAAUUGGUGCACAUGUGAAGAAGACGGUGCAGUCAGCAAACCCCAAGCGAAGAACUCCAGAAAGAUGACGAUGACGGCAUGAUAAACGCUGGGGGAACCGAAG